rnacentral:lncRNA from 1 species
CAAGCCAACGCUGGUAUGAAGGGCGGAAACUCUUCUUUCCAUUCCUCUGUCAUUUGCGGCUGCUCCCAUCUGCUCAGGGGCAUUGCCUGCUCAGUCCUUGCUGCAGAGGGAUCUCUGCCCUGGUCCUUCCCAUUUUCUUGAGCAAGUGGCUUUCCAACCGAAGCUUCGUGUGGGAGGCUUCAUGUUGGCAUCCAGGGUACAUGUCCCAAAUAUGUCCAGCCCCACCUUCUGAUCCUAGUGCAGAGGAGCUGCGGACAGAUGACAGUAGCUAUCCUCCUUCAAUACUGAGGAAAAGGCCACCUGUGGACCAAGCUGUGGGGGAAAAGAGGAAAGCAGAGAGAAGGGUUCGAUUUCGUGAGCCAGAAGAAGUCAUUGAACAUGCCAUUUCCUGCUGUGACUACAUGGUGGUAGAUGACAGGUCAUCAUCUGGAUUGCCCGUGCUCUUGGGGCUCUCAUUUUGUGCAGUGCUGAUCCUUGCUGUGAGUCUCUACUACACCAGCAUGAAGCAAGAUGUCAAAGUCCUGGAGGAAUUUCAAUCUCGACUUGUUAUCUUCUUUCUUCAGAUAAGGCACGUUGCUCAGAAAUGCUGGACUUGGUUUAUGAGGCAGUAG